rnacentral:rRNA from 1 species
AUGGCGACCGCAGAGGCGGGCGAGAAGAAGAUGAUCAUGCUCAUCUCAUCUGACGGCAUGGAGUUCGAGGUAGAGGAGGCAGUCGCCAUGGAGUCGCAGACCAUCCGCCAAAUGAUCAAGGAUGAGUGCGCCGACAAAGGCAUUCCUAUCCCCAACAUCAACUCCAAGAUCCUCUCCAGGGUCAUCGAGUACUGCAACAAACACGUCCCGACCAUGCCAACCACUGGAGCCACCAAUGCCGCUGCGUCUGACACCGUAGCUCCCGCCGCCCUAGCCAAGGACCUCAAGAUCUGGGACAGAGAAUUCAUCAAGGUCAACCGUGCCACCCACUUCGACCUCAACCUGGCUGCAAGUUACCUCAACAUCAAGGGUUUGUUGGACCUGACUUGCCAUACUACCGACACGAUUAGUGGCCAUAAUCUGGAGGAGAUCCGUAGUUUCCUUCAGCAUCAAGAACGACUACUUGCCUGA